GCCGGGGUGCCCGAGCGGUCUAAGGGGGCGGCCUGGAGAGCCGUUGGGGGUUUCCCCGCGCGGGUUCAAGUCCCGCCCCCGGCG
rnacentral:tRNA from 4 species